AGUAACUUUGCCAGUAAAAAACCUAAAUAGUCAACAGACUAAAGAAGACAGACAUCAGCAGGUGUUUUCAACUUUGGUUCGAGUAAAGUGGCGAAUUUUUGGAAGUCACUCAACUCACACAGUUGUGUAGACAUCAGAGUAUUAAUCCACAUAUUAAC